CCGAAUACAUUAGCAUGGGAUAAUGGAAUAGGACCCUGUCCUCNUAUUUUCAGUUGGUUUUGGCAGCGCGAGGACUAGGGUAAUGAUUAAUAGGGAUAGUUGGGGGCAUUAAUAUUUAAUUGUCAGAGGUGAAAUUCUUGGAUUUAUGAAAGAUUAACUUCUGCGAAAGCAUCUGCCAAGGAUGUUUUCAUUAAUCAAGAACGAAAGUUAGGGGAUCGAAGACGAUCAGAUACCGUCGUAGUCUUAACCAUAAACGAUGCCGACCAGCGAUUAGGAGACGUUGAAUACAAAACACCACCAUCGGUUGCGGUCAUCCUUGGCGUCUCG
rnacentral:rRNA from 1 species